rnacentral:rRNA from 1 species
CCUACGGGAGGCAGCAGUAAGGAAUAUUGGUCAAUGGACGCAAGUCUGAACCAGCCAUGCCGCGUGCAGGAUGAAGGCCCUCUGGGUUGUAAACUGCUUUUAUCUGGGACGAAAAAGGGGCUUUCUAGCUCAACUGACGGUACCAGAGGAAUAAGCACCGGCUAACUCCGUGCCAGCAGCCGCGGUAAUACGGAGGGUGCAAGCGUUAUCCGGAUUUACUGGGUUUAAAGGGUGCGUAGGUGGGUAAGUAAGUCAGUGGUGAAAUCUUCAAGCUUAACUUGGAAACUGCCAUUGAUACUAUUUAUCUUGAAUACUCUGGAGGUAAGCGGAAUAUGUCAUGUAGCGGUGAAAUGCUUAGAUAUGACAUAGAACACCAAUUGCGAAGGCAGCUUACUACAUAGUUAUUGACACUGAGGCACGAAAGCGUGGGGAUCAAACAGGAUUAGAUACCCUGGUAGUCCACGCCCUAAACGAUGGAUACUCGACAUCAGCGAUACACUGUUGUGUCUGAGCGAAAGCAUUAAGUAUCCCACCUGGAAGUACGACCGCAAGGUUGAAACUCAAAGGAAUUGACGG